rnacentral:rRNA from 1 species
UACGUAGGGUACAAGCGUUAAUCGGAAUUACUGGGCGUAAAGCGUGCGCAGGCGGUUAUGCAAGCCAGGUGUGAAAUCCCCGGGCUCAACCUGGGAACUGCAUUUGUGACUGCAUGGCUAGAGUACGGUAGAGGGGGAUGGAAUUCCGCGUGUAGCAGUGAAAUGCGUAGAUAUGCGGAGGAACACCGAUGGCGAAGGCAAUCCCCUGGGCCUGCACUGACGCUCAUGCACGAAAGCGUGGGGAGCAAACAGG